rnacentral:rRNA from 1 species
AGGACGAACGCUGGCGGCGUGCUUAACGACAUGCAAGUCGAGCGAGGCCCGUCCUUCGGGACGGUGCCCUAGCGGCGAACGGGUGAGUAACACGUGGGCAACCUGCCCCUAGCACUGGGAUAACUCCGGGAAACCGGGGCUAAUACCGGAUAUGACCUUUGAGGGCAUCCUCGAGGGUGUAAAGGAUUCUGGCUAGGGAUGGGCCCGCGGCCUAUCAGCUUGUUGGUGGGGUAAUGGCCUACCAAGGCGACGACGGGUAGCCGGCCUGAGAGGGCGACCGGCCACACUGGGACUGAGACACGGCCCAGACUCCUACGGGAGGCAGCAGUGGGGAAUAUUGCACAAUGGGCGAAAGCCUGAUGCAGCGACGCCGCGUGAGGGAUGACGGCCUUCGGUUGUAAACCUCUUUCAGCAGGACGAAGCGCAAGUGACGGUACCUGCAGAAGAAGCACCGGCCAACGUACGUGCCAGCAGCCGC